rnacentral:rRNA from 1 species
UGCAUCUAGAUUAGAGUUUGAUCCUGGCUCAGGACGAACGCUGGCGGCAUGCCUAAUACAUGCAAGUCGAGCGGAUCUUAUUAGUAGCUUGCUACUAACUUGGUUAGCGGCGGACGGGUGAGUAACACGUAGGCAACCUGCCCUUAAGAUCGGGAUAACAUUCGGAAACGAAUGCUAAGACCGGAUAAACAAUUUGGCUGCAUGGCCGGAUUGGGAAACGCGGAGCAAUCUGCGGCUUAGGGAUGGGCCUGCGGCGCAUUAGCUAGUUGGUGGGGUAAAGGCUCACCAAGGCGACGAUGCGUAGCCGACCUGAGAGGGUGAACGGCCACACUGGGACUGAGACACGGCCCAGACUCCUACGGGAGGCAGCAGUAGGGAAUCUUCCACAAUGGGCGAAAGCCUGAUGGAGCAAUGCCGCGUGAGUGAGGAAGGCUUUCGGGUCGUAAAGCUCUGUUGCCAGGGAAGAAUAAGGGUGAGAGUAACUGCUCAUUCGAUGACGGUACCUGAGAAGAAAGCCCCGGCUAACUACGUGCCAGCAGCCGCGGUAAUACGUAGGGGGCAAGCGUUGUCCGGAAUUAUUGGGCGUAAAGCGCGCGCAGGCGGUUCUUUAAGUCUGGUGUCUAAGUGCGGGGCUCAACCCCGUGAUGCACUGGAAACUGGGGAACUUGAGUGCAGAAGAGGAGAGCGGAAUUCCACGUGUAGCGGUGAAAUGCGUAGAGAUGUGGAGGAACACCAGUGGCGAAGGCGGCUCUCUGGACUGUAACUGACGCUGAGGCGCGAAAGCGUGGGGAGCAAACAGGAUUAGAUACCCUGGUAGUCCACGCUGUAAACGAUGAGUGCUAGGUGUUGGGGGUAUCAUGCCCUCGGUGCCGAAGUUAACACAUUAAGCACUCCGCCUGGGGGAGUACGGUCGCAAGACUGAAACUCAAAGGAAUUGACCGGGGACCC